GCAUGCAAAAGCACCAACAUGCUUCAACUUCUGAAAUUUUUAUUCUGUUUCUACCAAAUUUUCCAUGAAUAUAGAACAUAUCGUUCUUACAAAUCGUUUUUUUUCAACCAAACGUCAGAUGCUUUGCUACGUCCCUGAUGGUUGUAUUCGAAACCGAUUUCAGUUUAAGAUAUCCUUAGUCUGCUCUUCCAAAAACAAGAGAAUGAUAUGUUCCUAAGAAUGAUAUGUUCUGUGUUCAUGGGAUAUUUAGUACAAACGGGAUAAAAAGUAAAGAAAUUGAAGCACUGGCGAUUUUGCAACAGAUGC